UACGAAGGGGGCUAGCGUUGCUCGGAAUCACUGGGCGUAAAGGGUGCGUAGGCGGGUCUUUAAGUCAGGGGUGAAAUCCUGGAGCUCAACUCCAGAACUGCCUUUGAUACUGAAGAUCUUGAGUUCGGGAGAGGUGAGUGGAACUGCGAGUGUAGAGGUGAAAUUCGUAGAUAUCAAGAGGAACACCUGCGGCGAAGGCGGGUUGCUGGGCCGACACUGACGCUGAGGCGCGAAAGCCAGGGGAGCGAACGGG
rnacentral:rRNA from 1 species